GGACCCGCACAAGCGGUGGAGCAUGUGGUUUAAUUCGAUGAUACGCGAGGAACCUUACCAGGGCUUAAAUGUAGUGGGACAGGUCUAGAGAUAGACCCUUCUUCGGACUCAUUACAAGGUGCUGCAUGGUUGUCGUCAGCUCGUGCCGUGAGGUGUCAGGUUAAGUCCUAUAACGAGCGCAACCCCUGUUGUUAGUUGCCAUCGAGUCAUGUCGGGAACUCUAACGAAACUGCCAGUGCAAACUGUGAGGAAGGUGGGGAUGACGUCAAAUCAUCACGGCCCUUACGUCCUGGGCUACACACGUGCUACAAUGCUACGGACAAAGAGCAGCAAGUUCGCGAGGACAAGCA
rnacentral:rRNA from 1 species